rnacentral:rRNA from 1 species
CCUACGGGUGGCAGCAGUGGGGAAUAUUGGACAAUGGGGGCAACCCUGAUCCAGCCAUGCCGCGUGUGUGAAGAAGGCCCUCAGGUUGUAAAGCACUUUCAGUGAGGAAGAACGCCUGGUGGUUAAUACCCAUCAGGAAAGACAUCACUCACAGAAGAAGCACCGGCUAACUCCGUGCCAGCAGCCGCGGUAAUACGGAGGGUGCGAGCGUUAAUCGGAAUUACUGGGCGUAAAGCGCGCGUAGGUGGCUUGAUAAGCCGGUUGUGAAAGCCCCGGGCUCAACCUGGGAACGGCAUCCGGAACUGUCAAGCUAGAGUGCAGGAGAGGAAGGUAGAAUUCCCGGUGUAGCGGUGAAAUGCGUAGAGAUCGGGAGGAAUACCAGUGGCGAAGGCGGCCUUCUGGACUGACACUGACACUGAGGUGCGAAAGCGUGGGUAGCAAACAGGAUUAGAUACCCGUGUAGUC